GGUGGCUCAGUGGUAGAGCGCAUGCCUUGCAUGAGGCCCUGGGUUCAAUUCCUCAGCACCA
rnacentral:tRNA from 1 species